rnacentral:rRNA from 1 species
UAGAGUUUGAUCAUGGCUCAGGAUGAACGCUAGCGACAGGCUUAACACAUGCAAGUCGAGGGGCAUCGGGGCGAGGAGCAAUCCUUGCCGCCGGCGACCGGCGCACGGGUGAGUAACGCGUAUGCGACCUGCCCGUUGCAGGGGGAUAAUCGGGAGAAAUCCCGUCUAAUACCGCGUAAUGCCGCGGGGCUGCAUGGCCCUGCGGCCAAAGGGAGCGAUUCCGGCAACGGAUGGGCAUGCGUGACAUUAGCUAGUUGGCGGGGCAACGGCCCACCAAGGCGACGAUGUCUAGGGGUUCUGAGAGGAAGGUCCCCCACACUGGUACUGAGACACGGACCAGACUCCUACGGGAGGCAGCAGUGAGGAAUAUUGGUCAAUGGGCGCGAGCCUGAACCAGCCAAGUCGCGUGAGGGAUGACGGCCCUACGGGUUGUAAACCUCUUUUGUCGGGGAGCAAAUUCCGCCACGUGUGGCGGAGUCGAGAGUACCCGAAGAAAAAGCAUCGGCUAACUCCGUGCCAGCAGCCGCGGUAAUACGGAGGAUGCGAGCGUUAUCCGGAUUUAUUGGGUUUAAAGGGUGCGUAGGCGGACUGUCAAGUCAGCGGUAAAAUACGGGGGCUCAACCUCCGCCCGCCGUUGAAACUGACGGUCUUGAGUGGGCGAGAAGUAUGCGGAAUGCGUGGUGUAGCGGUGAAAUGCAUAGAUAUCACGCAGAACUCCGAUUGCGAAGGCAGCAUACCGGCGCCCGACUGACGCUGAGGCACGAAAGCGUGGGGAUCGAACAGGAUUAGAUACCCUGGUAGUCCACGCAGUAAACGAUGAAUGCUAGUUGUCCGGUUCUUUGGGACUGGGUGACACAGCGAAAGCGUUAAGCAUUCCACCUGGGGAGUACGCCGGCAACGGUGAAACUCAAAGGAAUUGACGGGGGCCCGCACAAGCGGAGGAACAUGUGGUUUAAUUCGAUGAUACGCGAGGAACCUUACCCGGGCUCAAACGUCGGAGGACGUGUGGAGAAAUCCGCAUUUCCCUCGGGACUUCCGACGAGGUGCUGCAUGGUUGUCGUCAGCUCGUGCCGUGAGGUGUCGGCUUAAGUGCCAUAACGAGCGCAACCCCCAUCUACAGUUGCUAACAGGUGAAGCUGAGGACUCUGUGGAGACUGCCGGCGCAAGCUGUGAGGAAGGCGGGGAUGACGUCAAAUCAGCACGGCCCUUACGUCCGGGGCGACACACGUGUUACAAUGGCAGGUACAGAGAGAAGCAAUGCGGCGACGCAAAGCGGAACUUGAAAGCCUGUCUCAGUUCGGAUUGGAGUCUGCAACUCGACUCCAUGAAGCUGGAUUCGCUAGUAAUCGCGCAUCAGCCAUGGCGCGGUGAAUACGUUCCCGGGCCUUGUACACACCGCCCGUCAAGCCAUGGAAGCCGGGAGUGCCUGAAGUGUGCAACCGCAAGGAGCGCCCUAAGGUAAAACUGGUGACUGGGGCUAAGUCGUAACAAGGUAACCGUAA